rnacentral:misc_RNA from 1 species
UCCGGCUUUCACCGGCUGUCUCGCUAGAGUGCCCACCCGAAGUGCUGGCAACUAGCGACAAGGGUUGCGCUCGUUGCGGGACUGAACCCAACAUCUCACGACACGAGCUGACGACAACCAUGCACCACCUGUCACCGCUGCCCCGAAGGGAAGCUCCAUCUCUGGAGCGGUCAGCGGGAUGUCAAGCCCUGGUAAGGUUCUUCGCGUUGCUUCGAAUUAAACCACAUGCUCCACCGCUUGUGCGGGCCCCCGUCAAUUCCUUUGAGUUUCAGCCUUGCGGCCGUACUCCCCAGGCGGAGUGCUUAAUGGGUUGCCUUCGGCACUGAAGGCGUGAAGCCUCCAACACCUAGCACUCAUCGUUUACGGCGUGGACUAC